CUCCGAACUCCUCCUAGGAUAAUACAAUUUUAGGCUCUGCAGUAUCUAUAUAAAACAGUGUGGUAAUGUUGUGUUUAUUCUUGUCGGUCUUUUAGGAAGGUAGAGAAUGAUGAACCGUGGCUUAAAAACCCCAUCAGAAAUUCCCAUUCACAAAUACUUAGGCAGCUUUUAAUUUCAACAGCUCUUAGUUUUGCAACACAGUAGUGUCAGUGAGAGAUGGUCAUGUAAUUUCUCUUGCCGCAUAGAUCUUUCAGCCUAGAAAACUAUAUUUAGGAGGGCUGUUCUUCACGCUCUUCGCCUCAGACCUGUCACAUACUCAUCUGACUGCUCUGAGCUUCACGGGAGAGGUCCUAAGUGUUUGUCACUCCCCAAGCCUCUUCCGCACAACCUAACGCCUCGGAGCAGGAUGGAGAUGUCUCCAGAGAAACACUGCGUGGAAACGCCACUCGGCAUCCUCUCCCUCACUCUCUAGAACUCAUUACUAGCCGCUGCUUCACGAGGUGGCCUGGCCCUGAGGUAAAUGGCCCGGCCCGAGAUACGCUCCUGGCCCCGAGGUAAAUAGCCCGGCCCCGAGGUAGGGUCCCGGCCCGGCGCUGGGGUGAAGGGGGGCAGAGCCCGGCAGUCGCCCCGACAGACGCUCCCCAGAGCCCUCCCGGCGCCCUGCGCACCCCUGCGCGCUUCGGAGGCGGCAGCCGCAGCCGAGCGCAGCGCAGCGCUCCCGCCGCAAAGGGAGGGAGCGGGCAGGACGCGGGCGCGGUGGCGCAGGCAUUGCCGACAUCGCCGGCAGUGCAGGCAUCGCCGGCAUCGCCCUGCUUGCAGAGCCUCUCCUCCGCUGGCUCCGCGGGCAGGAGCCUCGCGGCAGCGCGGGCCCCGGUUGCAGAGCCUCCCCUCUGGCUCCGCGGGGAGGAGGCGCCCCUUGCCCGGGGCUGCGGGACCGAGGCGGCCGCCGCCCCUUUAAGCUCCAGCUGUUCCUUUCUGCCGCGCCUAUUUUUAGCGCGUCCUCUUGGUAGCAUCCAGCUCUGCCCCCUGUUUCUGCGCGCUCCCCCGUCCCCCCCCGGUGGUAGGUUCCGCACGGCGGGGGGACUGAGCAUGUCCGAACGCGCUCGGCAGCGGCCGCCGCGCCGGGGCUGCGCUCGCUCGCAGGGCGGGAAGGAGGGCGCGGGCGCCGCCGCCGCCCGCAAGUCAAUAUAA
rnacentral:lncRNA from 1 species